ACACGACUACAUUAGAUACCCCGGUAGUCCCAGCCCUAAACGAUGCGCGUUAGGUGUAUCGGUGACCACGAGUCACCGAGGUGCCGAAGGGAAACCGUGAAACGUGCCGCCUGGGAAGUACGGUCGCAAGGCUGAAACUUAAAGGAAUUGGCGGGGAGCACCACAACGGGUGGAGCCUGCGGUUUAAUUGGACUCAACGCCGGGAAGCUCACCGGAUAAGACAGCAGAAUGAUUGCCGGGCUGAAGACCCUGCAUGACCAGCUG
rnacentral:rRNA from 1 species